rnacentral:rRNA from 1 species
UUCCGAUCUAACGAGACCUUAACCUGCUAAAUAGUCCGGCCGGCUUUUGCUGGUCGCAGACUUCUUAGAGGGACUGUCAGCGUCUAGCUGACGGAAGUUUGAGGCAAUAACAGGUC